rnacentral:rRNA from 1 species
UACAGAGGAUGCAAGCGUUAUCCGGAAUCAUUGGGCGUAAAGAGCGUGUAGGCGGCCAGAUAAGUCCGCUGUGAAAUCUCGAGGCUCAACUUCGAGCUGUCGGUGGAAACUGUCUGGCUAGAGUCCGGAAGAGGAGAAUGGAAUUCCUGGUGUAGCGGUGAAAUGCGCAGAUAUCAGGAAGAACACCCGUGGCGAAGGCGGUUCUCUGGGACGGUACUGACGCUGAGACGCGAAAGCGUGGGGAGCGAACAGG